UACGAAGGGUGCAAGCGUUACUCGGAAUGACUGGGCGUAAAGGGUGCGUAGGUGGUGCGUUAAGUCAGAUGUGAAAGCCCUGGGCUCAACCUGGGAAUGGCAUCUGAUACUGGCGGACUAGAGUUCGAUAGAGGGUCGUGGAAUUCCCGGUGUAGCGGUGAAAUGCGUAGAGAUCGGGAGGAACAUCAGUGGCGAAGGCGGCGACCUGGAUCAGAACUGACACUGAGGCACGAAAGCGUGGGGAGCAAACAGG
rnacentral:rRNA from 1 species